rnacentral:rRNA from 1 species
UUGCUCUCUGAUUCAGCGGCGGACGGGUGAGUAAUGCCUAGGAAUCUGCCUGGUAGUGGGGGACAACGUCUCGAAAGGGACGCUAAUACCGCAUACGUCCUACGGGAGAAAGCAGGGGACCUUCGGGCCUUGCGCUAUCAGAUGAGCCUAGGUCGGAUUAGCUAGUUGGUGAGGUAAUGGCUCACCAAGGCGACGAUCCGUAACUGGUCUGAGAGGAUGAUCAGUCACACUGGAACUGAGACACGGUCCAGACUCCUACGGGAGGCAGCAGUGGGGAAUAUUGGACAAUGGGCGAAAGCCUGAUCCAGCCAUGCCGCGUGUGUGAAGAAGGUCUUCGGAUUGUAAAGCACUUUAAGUUGGGAGGAAGGGCAGUAACUUAAUACGUUGCUGUUUUGACGUUACCGACAGAAUAAGCACCGGCUAACUCUGUGCCAGCAGCCGCGGUAAUACAGAGGGUGCAAGCGUUAAUCGGAAUUACUGGGCGUAAAGCGCGCGUAGGUGGUUUGUUAAGUUGGAUGUGAAAGCCCCGGGCUCAACCUGGGAACUGCAUUCAAAACUGACAAGCUAGAGUAUGGUAGAGGGUGGUGGAAUUUCCUGUGUA